GAUGAAGAACGUAGCGAAAUGCGAUAAGUAAUGUGAAUUGCAGAAUUCAGUGAAUCAUCGAAUCUUUGAACGCACAUUGCGCCCGCCAGUAUUCUGGCGGGCAUGCCUGUUCGAGCGUCAUUUCAACCAUCAAGCCCCCGGCUUGUGUUGGGGACCUGCGGCUGCCGCAGGCCCUGAAAACCAGUGGCGGGCUCGCUAGUCACUCCGAGCGUAGUAGUUACAUCUCGCUCAGGGCGUGCUGCGGGUUCCGGCCGUUAAAAGCCUUAUUUACCCAAGGUUGACCUCGGAUCAGGUAGGAAGACCCGCUGAACUUAAGCAUAUCAAUAACGGAGGA
rnacentral:misc_RNA from 1 species